rnacentral:lncRNA from 1 species
AUGCCUGGAACCCUGGUCUCUGCAUCAGCCUGGAACACCAGCCUCUCUGACUGCUCAGCAAAACCUUGUUAUUUCAGGUCAGAAGUUUUAGCUAAAACUCCAGUGGAAUUAUACAGAGAACGUCACGAACAAGGAAUAACUUACUUGGAAAGGCAUCAUACUGGAAGUAAGAGGAUGAAAGCAGGUGAGAAAGAGCAAAGCAGGGAUAAAAAUGACAGUGAGAGGAAACAAACAUUGCAAGUCCCUGGGCUGUGGUUUGGCUCAGGUCAACCCCUCCUCUUCAUUACCCUAGCUGGGAUCAGCAGGCUGGCCCUGCUCACCAGAACGCGUGUAAACGCUCAGCGAUCAUCCCGCAGCACAACUUCUUGGUGGAAUUCCACAGCAUCUGGGGAUCUUCCAUCUGCUCCAAUGUUGUAACGGAUUUAGAACUCAUUUUAGGCACCUGCCCGGCUCAGUAUGACAGUGACCCCCUGCUUUGUGAUGCUGAGCACGUGCAUGUGUUUUUUCAGGCUUUAUUGCAAGCAGCAUCUUUCAUAAAACACUUGGGCCAAGUCCAGUUCUGAGUAACACCCAUUAAGAGCCCAGAGAAGGCAAAACCCAGCUCCAUGCAUUCACACCUGUCAGGUUUUCACAAUGAGAGAACUAAUUUUCCCAUGUCACAGGGUUGAAUGUUUAUGACCCUGUGGCUCUCUGAGUACUUGGGGAAUGCUGACUGAUGAGAUAUAGAGCAAGCACCGCUGAAGAACUGCUGUAUUUCUCAGCCUUUUGCUAAAAUGAUUAAGAAACCAUCUUUUCUCGUUCACGGGCUGACUAUAGGGGUAAAGGGAGCUGGAUUAAAAGAUGACAAGAAAUUAAAUUGUCUCGCAAAAGUUCUUGCUGAUGCAGCCAAGGGAACAGGGAGAGCUGUCUCCAGCUCUCUGAUAAAUCGCCCUGUGCAUUUCGAUAGGAAAUGGACUCGGGUAUAAUUAGCAAGUGAAUUCUCUCCUGUCAGCACAAAAAAAAAAGGGGGGGUGGGGGAAGAGUUCAUUUUAAAACUAAAGCCAGGACUUCACAUGUCAACCGACAAUUUAUAAACUGAGCCUGAAACCCACAGAGCAUAAAAUUCACAGGGAGAUUCACCCCCGCUGUAAUCCAUGCCUUAUCUCUCGGCAUUUCCAUAGCAAGAGCUGAAGCCCAAACAAAUGUUUGUGUUGUGAUGGGAUUAGAUGAGCUGCUAGACAAGCAAUCGCUGCUUUUCACAGUCAUGAGCUCCCUCUGGAGAAAGAAAAACAGCUCAGUUUGGGAAGGAAACUUGACCCUGGCUGUGUCACAGAGUCCACCUGGACAAAGAAUGGGCUUGCUUGUAAGGGCAGCGCCCAUAAAAUGGGUAAAUUAUAUGUACACGUGCAAGAAGAUACCUGCACUCCAUCCCUGUAUG